GAACGGGUGAGUACACGUGGGUGAUCUGCCCUGCACUUUGGGAUAAGCCUGGGAAACUGGGUCUAAUACCGAAUAUGACCAUGCACUUCCUGGUGUGUGGUGGAAAGCUUUUGCGGUGUGGGAUGGGNCNNNGGCCUAUCAGCUUGUUGGUGGGGUAAUGGCCUACCAAGGCGACGACGGGUAGCCGGCCUGAGAGGGUGACCGGCCACACUGGGACUGAGAUACGGCCCAGACUCCUACGGGAGGCAGCAGUGGGGAAUAUUGCACAAUGGGCGCAAGCCUGAUGCAGCGACGCCGCGUGAGGGAUGACGGCCUUCGGGUUGUAAACCUCUUUCAGCACAGACGAAGCGCAAGUGACGGUAUGUGCAGAAGAAGGACCGGCCAACUACGUGCCAGCAGCCGCGGUAAUACGUAGGGUCCGAGCGUUGUCCGGAAUUACUGGGCGUAAAGAGCUCGUAGGUGGUUUGUCGCGUUGUUCGUGAAAACUCACAGCUUAACUGUGGGCGUGCGGGCGAUACGGGCAGACUUGAGUACUGCAGGGGAGACUGGAAUUCCUGGUGUAGCGGUGGAAUGCGCAGAUAUCAGGAGGAACACCGGUGGCGAAGGCGGGUCUCUGGGCAGUAACUGACGCUGAGGAGCGAAAGCGUGGGGAGCGAACAGGAUUAGAUACCCUGGUAGUCCACGCCGUANACGGUGGGUACUAGGUGUGGGUUUCCUUCCUUGGGAUCCGUGCCGUAGCUAACGCAUUAAGNNNCCC
rnacentral:rRNA from 1 species